GCUUUACUGUAGCCUGGUAUUGAAAUCGAGCUUAUCAUGCGCAGUAUAGGUGGGAAGCAAAGAAAGUAUGUUUGCGGAUGUACAAGAGCUAACAGUGAGAUACCACUCUUGAUAAGCCAGAUUUCUAAUUUUGAAUGCCAUUAGCUGGCCAAGAGACAUUGCCAGGUGGGCAGUUUGACUGGGGCGGUCGCCUCCUAAAAGGUAACGGAGGCGUGCAAAGGUUUUCUCAGGCUGGUCGGAAAUCAGUCGUAGAGUGUAAAGGCAUAAGAAAGCUUAACUGCGAGACUUACAAGUCGAGCAGAGACGAAAGUCGGCCUUAGUGAUCCGACAGUGCUGAGUGGAAAGGCUGUCGCUCAACGGAUAAAAGUUA
rnacentral:rRNA from 1 species